GCUACAGCCCAUCAUCUGGGAAGUCAGAGCAGGAGCUCAAUGUCCCAAGUGGAAACUGAGGGGUGCCUGGAUGAUGCGGUCCACAACGAGCCAAGUACCACCUGCCCGGGAUACUACCACCUACAGUGGGCUGGAUCCUUCACAGCACCCCACCACCGCCACCAAAAGCCCUCACAGACCUGUCU